CUCUUAUUAAUGUCUAAUUGAGGUUCUGAGUUUGAAGAUCCUGAGGUCACAUGUUGUUAUGAAGGACUGCAUUAGAAGCCUCUCUUGCUGUUGGGUGUGGCCAUCUGACUGAAUUCGACUGAAUAGAAAAUAUGAUGUCAACGUUUAAAGUGACCGCAUAAGUCACAUGCUGAAGGUGGUAUAAUUACAAGAUGGAAGGACCUGGUUCCUUGAACAACACUUGGAAGAGAGCCACCCACCAUGAGUACCCGUUUUAGAUGUUUUAUGAGUGAGAAAUAAAUUUCCCAUGAUGUCUUAAGUUUGAUAUAGAAUUAAUACUGCAGUAAAUAAGGGACA